rnacentral:rRNA from 1 species
UACGUAGGAUGCAAGCGUUGUCCGGAUUUAUUGGGUUAAAAGGGUGCGUAGGCGGCCUAUUAAGUUAGUGGUGAAAACGUUCGGCUUAACCGAAUUCCCGCCAUUGAUACUGAUAGACUUGAGUGCGACAGAGGGUGUUGGAAUGUGUGGUGUAGCGGUGAAAUGCUUAGAUAUCACGCAGAACACCAAUUGCGAAGGCAGAUGCCUAUGUCGUAACUGACGCUGAGUCACCAAAGCGUGGGGAGCAAACACG